UAGUCCACGCCCUAAACGAUGUAUGCUUGGUGUUUGUGCUACGCACGAGUGCCGGAGGGAAACCGUUAAGCAUACCGCCUGGGGAGUACGAUCGCAAGGUUGAAACUCAAAGGAAUUGACGGGGCCCGCACAAGCGGUGGAUUAUGUGGUUUAAUUCGAUGCAACGCGAAGAACCUUACCUGGGCUUGAAGUGCAGUGGACCGCACCUGAAAGGGUGUUUUCCUUCGGGACUGCUGCAGAGGUGCUGCAUGGCUGUCGUCAGCUCGUGCCGUGAGGUGUUGGGUUAAGUCCCGCAACGAGCGCAACCCUUGUCUUUAGUUGCCAUCAUUAAGUUGGGCACUUUAAAGAGACUGCCGGUGACAAACCGGAGGAAGGUAAGGAUGACGUCAAGUCAGCAUGCCCCUUAUGCUCUGGGCUACACACGUGCUACAAUGGCCGUGACAAAGAGUUGCUACUUUGUGAAAACAAGCUAAUCUCAUAAACGCGGCCUCAGUUCGGAUUGCAGG
rnacentral:rRNA from 1 species